UACGAAGGGGGCUAGCGUUGCUCGGAAUUACUGGGCGUAAAGGGCGCGUAGGCGGAUAGUUUAGUCAGAGGUGAAAGCCCAGGGCUCAACCUUGGAACUGCCUUUGAUACUGGCUAUCUUGAGUUCGGGAGAGGUGAGUGGAAUGCCGAGUGUAGAGGUGAAAUUCGUAGAUAUUCGGCGGAACACCAGUGGCGAAGGCGACUCACUGGCCCGAUACUGACGCUGGGGGCGCGAAAAGCGUGGGGAGCAACAGG
rnacentral:rRNA from 1 species